GGCCACAUUAUGUUGAAACACCCGUUCUCGUAAGAUCACGAAAGUUAAGCAACGUCGAAAUUGGUCAGUUCCUAGAUGGGUGACCGCUUAGGAAUCCCAGUUGUUGUAAG